AAAAAGGUAAGCUAAUUUUAAAGCUUUUAGGUUCAUACCCUAAUUAUAGGUAAUUCUCCUUUUUA
rnacentral:tRNA from 1 species